AUGGUGAAGGAGAUCGAGAGCAAACUUGCUUUUUAGGAAGCCUUGGAUGCCACAGGCGAUAAACUUGUAAUAGUUGACUUCUCGGCCACGUGGUGUGGGCCUUGCAAAAUGAUCAAGCCUUUCUUUAUCCCCUCUCUGGAAAGUAUUCCAGCGUGGUAUUCCUUGAAGUAGAUGUGGAUGACUGUCAGGAUGUUGCUUCAGAGUGUGAAGCCGAAUGCAUGCCAACAUUCCAGUGUUUUAAGAAGGGACAAAAGGUGGGUGAAUUUUCUGGAGCCCAUAAGGAAAAGCUUGAAGCCACCAUUCAUGAAUU
rnacentral:lncRNA from 1 species